CACAGGGUAUGAGGUUCGUCGCUACCACUGUUUCCCCACUCCUAACCCUAUCCGAUCCAGAGGGAAGCACUGAAGCGACGGGAAGCGCCACCAGCCACUCCACCGCCGCCGCUCACGCACUCUCUGCCAUCACCGCCGUAUCCACAACCACCGGCCACCGUCACCAUGGCCGGCAUCGGAACGUCCUCGAGCCACAAGAAGGAAAAGAUGAUUAUGAUAAAACCCGCAUGGCAGGAAAAGUCUGGGAAAAUCCCUGCGUAACCCGUAUGGCGGCAGAAAUUUUCUCAGACUUAUCCUGUAUGACAGGAGAAAGACAUGAUGACUCAUGUGAUUUGUGUCCCACUCUGGGAGAAAAGUAUGGAGUAGCUAUUAUGCUUUCCUAGUAUCGACCAUACAUCUUAUGUGUAACGGUCAUUAAGCACUCAAUAACUCCGAAGAGAAUAAAAGUUACAGACGAACCUAAAGAUAAGAAUGAUAUGCAAGUGUGACUUGCAAAAGUACUAAUGAUAAAGAACUUUGUUGAGUUUCUGAAAUGGAAUAAGGGAAAAGUACUCUCAUACCAGCUAACAGAUAACUUCAUUACAUAUGAAGUAAUCAGAUAAAUGAAGUAGAUACUCAAAGUUUCCUCUAUUCACAAGAGUUGUGAAUGGUCUUUCGAAAUUGUGGCAGAAAAGUUCUUGCCACAUUUCGAGCGGGAGAAAGAAAUAUGAGAUAUUCAUUAAUGAAAAAUGUGAUCGUCUGGGGGAGUACGAUGAUCAUAAUAAUACCCCUUAAGGAAAGAAAACUAAGGAAUACUAAGAUGGUGCUUAAAGUGCCAUAAAGAAGAAAGUUUUAACAGAAUAAACCCAAAUAAUAAAGUUUAAAGAUACGCCAUUCUUAUUGAAGAUGGAGUAAUCUGGGGGAGCAUGGUAUGAAGAUACCUAAGACUCAAAUAGAUUGUAUCUGAGGGAGCAUGUUGUAUGACCUAUACAACAUCCGUUGUUAGCUCUAUAAAAGAGGAAUGAUUAAACAUGGAUCUUGUGAUAAAGGUCCCUGUAAAACCUAUUGCCUCUUGGAAGUGAAAGACUAUAUAAUUAAUUUGCCUCUUGGCAAUGACAGAGCAACAACAACCCCAUAUGAAAGAAGUGCCAGUACCUGAGACACAGAUGGUCUCAAGGAAUGAGAAAAUCAGAUACUUCUGAUUACUAUAAAGUCUAUGUUAGUGAAAUUCAAAUGGAGGUUGAUCCCACCUCAUUUAAAGCGCUCAAUCGAGUUUUGAGAAGUGUCUGCUUAUCUAAAUGAUAAGAGACUAUGUGAGAUGAAAUGAAAUUGAUGAAUUCUGACGAUGUUCGGGACUCAUGAGUAAUUUUCAAUGGAGCCAAAACAGUAGGCUGUAAAGAGUCUACAAGGUCAAUGUGACUCCAAAGGAAAUAUGUAAAGGUGUAAAACACGACUAAAAUCGAAAGGUUUUUGCGCAUUUUACACUGAAUAGAUUACAAUGAGUGUUGGUAGCACAUCAUGAUCUGAGUUACAUCAGAUGAAAGAUAUUAUGAUAUGAGUUACAUCAGAUGAAAGUAAAGAACACAAGGGAUACUGCCUGAAGAAGUCUUUUAUGGACUAAAGCAAUCAAAUGUUGUUUUGGGUUAAAGAAAAUAAGAGGACAAUUGUGUUUGUAUAAA